GACGAACGCUGGCGGCGUGCCUAAUACAUGCAAGUCGAGCGCAGGAAACUGACGGAACUCUUCGGAGGGAAGGCAGUGGAAUGAGCGGCGGACGGGUGAGUAACACGUAAGGAACCUGCCUCAAGGAUUGGGAUAACCCCGAGAAAUCGGAGCUAAUACCGGAUAGUUCAACGGACCGCAUGGUCCGCUGAUGAAAGGCGCUCCGGCGUCACCUUGAGAUGGCCUUGCGGUGCAUUAGCUAGUUGGUGGGGUAACGGCCCACCAAGGCGACGAUGCAUAGCCGACCUGAGAGGGUGAUCGGCCACCCUGGGACUGAGACACGGCCCAGACUCCUACGGGAGGCAGCAGUAGGGAAUCUUCCACAAUGGACGAAAGUCUGAUGGAGCAACGCCGCGUGAGUGAUGAAGGUUUUCGGAUCGUAAAACUCUGUUGUAAGGGAAGAACACGUACGAGAGGAAAUGCUCGUACCUUGACGGUACCUUACGAGAAAGCCACGGCUAACUACGUGCCAGCCGCCGCGGUAAGAC
rnacentral:rRNA from 1 species